GACGAACGCUGGCGGCGUGCUUAACACACGCAAGUCGAACGGAAAGGCCCUGCUUUUGUGGGGUGCUCGAGUGGCGAAUGGGUGAGUAACACGUGAGUAACCUGCCCUUGACUUUGGGAUAACUUCAGGAAACUGGGGCUAAUACCGGCUAGGAGCUCCUGCUGCCUGGUGGGGGUUGGAAAGUUUCGGCGGUUGGGGAUGGACUCGCGGCUUAUCAGCUUGUUGGUGGGGUAGUGGCUUACCAAGGCUUUGACGGGUAGCCGGCCUGAGAGGGUUACCGACCACAUUGGGACUGAGAUACGGCCCAGACUCCUACGGGGGGCAGCAGUGGGGAAUAUUGCACAAUGGGCGGAAGCCUGAUGCAGCAACGCCGCGUGCGGGAUGACGGCCUUCGGGUUGUAGACCGCUUUCGCCUGUGACGAAGCGUGGGUGACGGUAAUGGGUAAAGAAGCACCGGCUAACUACGUG
rnacentral:rRNA from 1 species